rnacentral:lncRNA from 1 species
CCCAAAACAGCUAUAUAAUUGUUAGAGCUGACAGGGGAAAAAACUGGACUCCAUGCUCAAAAGCAUCACUUAUGAAUCAUUAUGCAGCAUCUUGAACUGAUGUAAUAUCUUUUAUCAAUGCAAGUGGGUUUACAUAAAGUAUCCAUUAUACUGGUUACCAUACUAAAAAUACACAGGCUUGAUUAGGGCUAGAAAUUCUUAGAUGAAGCCUUCCAUUUUUAUUUUUAAUCCUUAUCAUUUUCUAUAUUUUUAAUCCUUUGGAAACAACCACUAUGAAUGAGAAACUAAGUGUGGGAGACUCUGAAGACAAAGGCUGAGUCACAGCUGAGAAAACAACUCUGUGAGUCCUUCAGCUGCCUUCUCCUCUGAGGGACACAACGCCAUGACUCUGCUUGAGGUCUUCACGUAAUUCUGAGAGGAAAUUCUCCACAGGCACCAGACGUUUCCUCAACAGACCUUCCUUUAGCUGCAGCUUCUGUUUAAAUCAUGGUUCAUGGGAAGUGAUGAGGGAGAACAGAAGAGCAACACAGAAACUUGCUGUAAGAAAAUCAGCACUAUAAAAAACCUGUUUGCAUUUUACAUCCUGCUCCAUGUCCCUAACAGGGGCUACAGGUGUGAUCCUAAGGGACUGCUUUGACAAG